GACAUUAAUGGAUACUAGAUAGCCAUUGAAAAAGAAAAUAUGUCAUCAUACCUCUUUGAAAUGAGCUACAAACAUAGGGCUUUGGGAGAUAAUUAAUUAAGUAGAAUCAGUUAAAGGGCAACUCUCCUUUGGCGGGUUCUCGUUGAACUAGAUCCAGAUUUAUCAUCCACGACCAUUAACCUGCCAAAGGAGAGAAGCCCUACAACUAGUUCACUUAGCUGAUAAUUUUCAUUUUCUUGUGGCACAAAAGAAAAAGGGUGUAAACUGCAGUUGUGAUUUAAGCAAAAGGGUGCAGCCGGAGAUUUAUAGGGUCUUGUACCAGUGGGAGAAGUUGUUUAAGGCAUGGCAUAUGCGGAGGAUAUCCUUUGGUGCCUGCUUUCUACGCAUUUCCAUGCAAAGCAAAGGCUCCUUUUAUCUUAAAAAGACUUCCAAAUAUUUGACAGAUUCUAUACUUAGCUUGAUUGAUUUAGACCUAUGAUUGUUUCUAAUAUUUCUCUUUUCAUUGUGUCCAUAUCCAUCUCUAGAAGGUGAAGGGAGGAAGGAAAAAAAAUAAAAGGAAGAAAGAGUCAAGGCGAGAUGCUUAGCUUUUCAGAAUAGUAUGUGGCAGCCAAAUAUGGACCUAGGGGCUUGAUGUUGUGAAAAUCCUCCCCUCCUCUCCUCUAUUUUACAAGUUAAAAGAUAGCAGAAACGUUUAUAUAUGUAUGCAUCUAUAACAGGUAAAACCACAGAAGUAGUCAAAGCAUGACAAAGGGAUCAACAAAACAGUUCAGAUAUUUAGAAUAGUAGUCAUAAGCAAUGUGGCAGCUGCUUUGGACCUAGGAAUUUUUCCUAAUCACUGAGCUUAAUUUUCUAACUAAUUAAGC